CAGUAGCCACGGUAAUACGAAGGGGGCUAGCGUUGUUCGGAAUCACUGGGCGUAAAGGGUGCGUAGGCGGGCAUUUAAGUCAGGGGUGAAAUCCCGAGGCUCAACCUCGGAACUGCCCUUGAUACUGGAUGUCUUGAGUCCGGAAGAGGUGAGUGGAACUGCGAGUGUAGAGGUGAAAUUCGUAGAUAUUCGCAAGAACACCGGUGGCGAAGGCGGCUCACUGGUCCGGAACUGACGCUGAGGCACGACAGCGUGGGGAGCAAACAGGAUUAGAUACCCCCGUAGUCCCUGUCUCUUAUAC
rnacentral:rRNA from 1 species